UACAGAGGUCUCAAGCGUUGUUCGGAUUCACUGGGCGUAAAGGGUGCGUAGGCGGUUUGGCAAGUCUGAUGUGAAAUCCCGCAGCUUAACUGCGGAACUGCAUUGGAAACUGUUUGACUAGAGGAAUGGAGGGGAGACUGGAAUACUUGGUGUAGCAGUGAAAUGCGUAGAUAUCAAGUGGAACACCAGUGGCGAAGGCGAGUCUCUGGACAUUUCCUGACGCUGAGGCACGAAAGCCAGGGGAGCAAACAGG
rnacentral:rRNA from 1 species